rfam:Eutrema salsugineum unplaced genomic scaffold scaffold_4, whole genome shotgun sequence.
UUGCAAAUGAUGAGUUAAUCGCAACUGAUAAAAGAAGCUCAGUUUCUUGAGCUGUGUUGGAAAUCAUAAACUUCCAUGACUCUGAUGCAA